rnacentral:rRNA from 1 species
UUCAUAUUGGGUAGGGGAGCGUUCUGUAAGCCGUUGAAGGUGCAUUGUAAAGUGUGCUGGAGGUAUCAGAAGUGCGAAUGCUGACAUGAGUAACGAUAAAGGGAGUGAAAAACUCCCUCGCCGGAAGAUCAAGGGUUCCUGUCCAACGUUAAUCGGGGCAGGGUAAGUCGACCCCUAAGGCGAGGCCGAAAGGCGUAGUCGAUGGGAAACGGGUUAAUAUUCCCGUACUUCUUAUAAUUGCGAUGGAGGGACGGAGAAGGCUAGGUGAGCCUGGCGACGGUUGUCCAGGUCCAAGUAUGUAGGCUGAUGGUUUAGGCAAAUCCGGACCAUCUUAAGGCUGAGAUACGAUGUCGAGCUACUACGGUAGUGAAGUCAUUGAUGCCAUGCUUCCGGGAAAAGCUUCUAAGCUUCAGAUUAUAAGAAAUCGUACCCCAAACCGACACAGGUGAUCAGGUAGAGAAUACCAAGGCGCUUGAGAGAACUCGGGUGAAGGAACUAGGCAAAAUGGUACCGUAACUUCGGGAGAAGGUACGCUCCUAGCGGUGAUGAGACUUGCUCUCUAAGCUGCCGGGAGUCGCAGAUACCAGGUGGCUGCAACUGUUUAUUAAAAACACAGCACUGUGCAAAAUCGAAAGAUGACGUAUACGGUGUGACGCCUGCCCGGUGCCGGAAGGUUAAUUGAUGGGGUUAGACUUCGGUCGAAGCUCUUGAUCGAAGCCCCGGUAAACGGCGGCCGUAACUAUAACGGUCCUAAGGUAGCGAAAUUCCUUGUCGGGUAAGUUCCGACCUGCACGAAUGGCGUAAUGAUGGCCACGCUGUCUCCACCCGAGACUCAGUGAAAUUGAAAUCGCAGUGAAGAUGCUGUGUACCCGCGGCUAGACGGAAAGACCCCGUGAACCUUUACUAUAGCUUGGCACUGAACAUUGACCCUACAUGUGUAGGAUAGGUGGGAGACGUUGAAGCAACCGCGCCAGUGGUUGUGGAGUCAAUCUUGAAAUACCACCCUUGUAUGCUUGAUGUUCUAACGUUGGCCCCUUAUCGGGGUUACGGACAGUGCCUGGUGGGUAGUUUGACUGGGGCGGUCUCCUCCCAAAGAGUAACGGAGGAGCACGAAGGUGGGCUAAUCACGGUCGGACAUCGUGAGGUUAGUGCAAUGGCAUAAGCCCGCUUGACUGCGAGAAUGACAAUUCGAGCAGGUGCGAAAGCAGGUCAUAGUGAUCCGGUGGUUCUGAAUGGAAGGGCCAUCGCUCAACGGAUAAAAGGUACUCCGGGGAUAACAGGCUGAUACCGCCCAAGAGUUCAUAUCGACGGCGGUGUUUGGCACCUCGAUGUCGGCUCAUCACAUCCUGGGGCUGAAGUCGGUCCCAAGGGUAUGGCUGUUCGCCAUUUAAAGUGGUACGCGAGCUGGGUUUAGAACGUCGUGAGACAGUUCGGUCCCUAUCUGCCGUGGGCGUUGGAUGAUUGAGAGGGGCUGCUCCUAGUACGAGAGGACCGGAGUGGACGAACCGCUGGUGUUCGGGUUGUAUCGCCAGAUGCAUUGCCCGGUAGCUAAGUUCGGAAUCGAUAACCGCUGAAAGCAUCUAAGCGGGAAGCGAGCCUCAAGAUGAGUCAUCCCUAGACCUUUAAGGUCUCUAAAGGGUUGUUGAAGACUACAACGUUGAUAGGUCAGGUGUGUAAGUGCUGCGAGGCAUUGAGCUAACUGAUACUAAUUGCCCGUGAGGCUUAACCAUACAACACCCAAGGGGUUU